rnacentral:rRNA from 1 species
UACGUAGGGUGCAAGCGUUAAUCGGAAUUACUGGGCGUAAAGCGUGCGCAGGCGGUUAUGCAAGACAGAUGUGAAAUCCCCGGGCUUAACCUGGGAACUGCAUUUGGGACUGCAUAGCUGGAGUACGGCAGAGGGGGAUGGAAUUCCGCGUGUAGCAGUGAAAUGCGUAGAUAUGCGGAGGAACACCGAUGGCGAAGGCAGUCCCCUGGGCCUGUACUGACGCUCAUGCACGAAAGCGUGGGGAGCAAACAGG